AGAUAAAAGUACCGGAAGUAGAUGCCACUGCUGAAGCCAUGUACUUGCAGCUUUUCUGGUUCUUGUCGGCUGGUGUCGGGCAGCGGAAGAAGCAAGUCAAGUAAACGGAUUCUAACCUCACAGUGUUUUCAGGAAAACCAUUUAAAGACAUGGAAAAGAUCCUGGUCAGUUUCUUACCUACAGUUUGGGAUUUGAGAGGUCUUCAGACUCUAGGUGACGUGAUGAUGCUGCUCAACUUCAUCUCCAGCUGUAUACAUGAUGGAGGCUGAGGAUUGUGUGGAUGACCAGGAGCUUCACUCUGAAUCCUGACCUCCUCCUGCUUCAGUGGUUGACUUGGUCAUCAUGGCAACCAUCUGGAUGACUGAGGUCCCUGAUUGGACUUUCUGAGGUGGUUCUUUGUGCCUCUGAUGGUGUGUUUGUGGUCACACUGCAGAAUCAAUCCAAGGUCUCUCUAAUGGUGCUGAACAUCAGGCUGUUAACUGCAGAGCAUUAGACCUUAUCUGUGGAUCCUCCCGACGGUUUCUCUCCUAACUCCUGGUUGGAGUUCAUGGAGGACUUCAGCUUCUUGCAGCUGCUCCUGCUGAUAGAUGUCAUUGCUGCCUUCUCCCUCUGCACUGGCUGCUACAUCUUCUUUGUUUCUGCUUUUCUCUUUGUCAUGACUGUGAAUCAGGCAGCUGUGCUGACAAUAUGAUUGUUCUCCUUAUAAUAAAAGCUGGAAGCUGAAAAUCCUGCCUGUGCUGAGACAUUUUUUCAUGAAUGAUCUUCACAGCGAAAACAAACACAGGACAAAGGAAACUGUGUGUGACGUCAUCUUUAGUUCAUAGAAAAAUAU